CUUGCUUGAAUGAUUUAAUUUCAAAGAAAAAAAGGGUUGAAUGUGUUGAAAUGAUGCGUUGAAACCCGGUAAUUAUCUUCCUUGUUGUUCCUUUCUAUGUUGAAGACACCAUUAGGCUGCUGUACUUCCCCCUACGGUCACUGCUAUCUGGGAUGUUUGGGAAGUUCAUACCCAAAACUUCGGGAUUUUGGCAAUUAUUAUUAUUUUUUUUGUCUACUUCCCCAAGAGUCAGACUCCUGGAUACAUUUGUUAUGUCUCUGUGUGUAGUUUUAAGGAAGUGUCUAACUAGAGGAAAAUAACUUAUCCCACCCAUGAAAGCUGCCAGAGUGCGUGGGGACAUUGCUUACAUCCGCUAUGACAGGCUCAUUGUCCAUCCUCCCUCCCUGGCAGAAGCCUGGAUGGGAUGAGAGCCAAGCCUAUGGUCCUCCCGGUUUUGACCCUUGCCUGUUUUCUGGACUCCGUACCCGCCUGCCUGACCAUUCUGCCUGCCCUGACCUCGAGCCUGUCUGCCACUCUGUACCUCCUGGACUCCUGGUUUUGACCUUUUGCCUGUCCACAACCAUUCUAUUGCCUACCCCCUUUUUGGAUUGUUUAAUAAAUAUCAAGACUCAAACCCA
rnacentral:lncRNA from 1 species